UACAGUCUCCUUAAGUCAGAAACAACUUGAAGGCACACAAAGACAGCCAGAAGCAAGCUGAUCAAACCACAUUAUGGCUGUCCAAUGAAUGAAAGCAGAAGCAGCAACGCAGGACCAAUCUGCCAAUCAAGUCCUGGCAAAACUCACAAAGCUUAAGUGGGGUUCCAAAUUUGAAAGCUCCUUUUUGCCACUGUUUCUUCCCCACUUCCACAUGCAGUAAGUCAGUCUGUCCAGUGAGUCAGUCUGUCUCAAAAUGGCUCUGCUUUGUACCAUGGAAGCAAUGCCCUUUACCCAAGCCUCACAACAGUUUCCCAACUGCCACCACAACUAGCAAAAGAAAUGGCUAAAGAAGGGAAUGAAGUCAUGCAGUCUCAGAGGAAAUACAAUUUUUUAUUUUGAAGAAACCACAACUCCCUUUACUAUUUGAAGAAGCUGGGAAACUACAGCUGAAUCAUAGCUUAUUCUCUCUAACUGUAUUACAAAAACAGCUUCCCUAAUUCAGUCAUCGUGUGGAACUGUGGUUGAUUUAAAUAGAAAACACCUUGUGAACAUAAAACAGGAAGAGUGUAACAGCAAGAGUUUCAUCACAGCUUGUUCUCACAGCUUUCCAUUUCAUCUGAAUCAUGUCUCCAUCUUCUCAAGCUAAAUUAAAUCACUUUAUGCCUUCCAAAAAUUACUUUCCCUAAUUUAGCCUUAACGUAAAUUUUGAGUACAGUGGUCCCUUCCCUUAUGCAGGGGAUCCAUUCCGGACCCCCCCCCCCCAACGUAAGGGAAAUUCCCGUGUAUGCUCAAGCCCAUGGGGCUUGUGCCUGCGGCAGCGCGGCAACAACAUAUUCCAUGGGUGUGCGACACUGCUCCUUCCAGCACGCCUUUCAGCUUAUGCUGAAAGCUAUGUAUAUCAUGCCUGCGUAUGACGAGGACACACUGUAAUUCUUUUACAGCUUUUUGUAUAAAAUAAUGAUUGACAAUCAAUGCACUGGUUUACUUGCAAUACUGAAUGAAAACGCUUAGUAACUAAUUAAAUACAGGAAUCUAGCAACACAGGGUGAAUGCAAGUUAGCAUUCAUAUGAAUGAAGUUUACCUAUAUGAACUUAGAGAAAAUUUGGUCAGAUUUGUUUCAUCAGCAACAGCCACUUGUUUACAGGCCUUCAUAUGAGUAUACUGUUUCAUACAAAUAUACAUACCAAUGUGGUUCGAGUAAGAAAGUAAAAUAUAGUGCUCUAAUUAUAAUGCUAUCAAAGCAACAGAAAAACACAAACUCCCAAUUCAUUAUAACUUAAAAACUAUUCCAAACAACAGAGUGGUUGCAUCAAAUAUAGUGUGUAAGAUGGUGCUUCCUUUUCAUCAGAUCUAAAUAAAUUAUUUCACUGAAAACACAGAUGUGCUGAGGUGGUAGCUGAACAUUUCCUAACCAAAAAGUACUACUGGUUAAUCCAAGCACAGAUGGAUCUUAUGCCUGUUUCAAUGUUUUCAUCAUGACAUUUAUACAGUUGUAGCAAACAAUGUUUCUCACUUGCUGUAUAGUUAGAUUAAUUUAUCUACUCUAAGAUUGUACAAAACAGAGUGGAAAGCCAUAUUGAAGGGAAGGAAAAGAGGUACUGAAGUUUUUUACUCUUUUUGUUUCCUUCCUGCAUUUUUUCUGCAAAUCUCUCUUAUUCUUCCCAUCCAUCCCCCUGGGCUUUCAGUAUCUUCAUUGAGAUGUCAAAGGACAGAAACAGAAAAAAAAAUUCAGCCCACAAUAUAAGUUCAGUAACCUCAAAGCUAUCCAAAGUUCCAAGUUGCUAUAUUAUUUAGAAAUUUUCAUCCAACAAUUGGUUGAUAUGGCUUCUUCUGAAAUUUCAGCAUGAUGACUCAGUAUGAAUUUAUGUAAGUCAUAUCCACGUGUAUUUAUUUAGACAUUCAAGACAAUUAUGAGCAACAGUUAUUGAUAAAAAUGCCAAAUUAAAAUAUGAAGUUGCAUUCAUUCUAACAGAGAAAAUUAAAUUAUGAUGUAAAGUCUUCCAAAAAUACAAUUGCUGGUUACCUCAUCAUGUGUGUAUCUAUACUCUGCCUUCUUAGAUUUGAGGUCCCAUAAUGCCACUGUUCCCGAUUCAAAACCAAUCAGGAGCUGUAAUAAAUCACAAAUGAAAAUGUGUAUAACCGGCAUUAAAAAUAAAUUAUUUAUUUACUAUGAUAUGGUGAAAUUUAGAAUAACUGUACAAACACAACACUGAAAGAAAUAUUAUAAUGUUGUAGUUACGCUACUGGAAUUUAACAAAAAUAUGAGAUCUUAUUUUAACAUAGUUCUGUAACAUGUCAACUGACUGAGUGUUCCUUCACCAUAUAUGUAUAUUAUGAUAUCCAAUUUCAACAAACAUUUAAAAAGUAUAUUUCCAGAAUGAUUUGCUUCACAGUUCACAGCAGUAUCAAUCCAGCUACAGAUGAACAAAUAAGAGGUAUUAAAGCUAUAAAAAACCCAGAAAACUGGUAAAACGUGUACAACUGUGAACUGUACCUUUUAGAUCAUUUUGAAGCUACUGUAUCAGCUUGUGGUGAACCACUCAUAUGAAGCAUAUGCCAUGCACUGAACUGAACUGUUUUGCAUGCAUGAUCUGAUCACUUCACCCUGAAGAAAAUAUGAUCUUAAACAGUAAAAGAAGUUGAUUUUAGGAAAUAAAUUAACUUUGUACCCUUGGUUUUCUGCUAAUUUUCUCUCUAAAAUGGUUUGUCCACUCUUCUUCCAACAUGCAAACUGACUUCCAAAUCUUCACCUUGCAACUGGCUUAAAAUGUAACACUAAAGUACUCACUGCCAGAAAAGGUGGAGGAAGAAUAACAAGCAAUUCUGAUCACCAUACACAAUAUGUCAUUUAGUCCAUACCAAUUCAGUUUGUAGGUAGACUACUGCUUACUUGAAUGUACCCCACAUAUGUAUAAUCUAGGCCUAUGCAAUGGCCUCCUUACAAAAUUCAGGGUUCUUCUCUAUUUGGGCAGUUCCAUAUCUAAUUUGCCCAGAGUUAGACAUGAAUUAAAAUUUAAAAAUAUACA